rnacentral:rRNA from 1 species
AUUGAACGCUGGCGGCAGGCUUAACACAUGCAAGUCGAGCGGGGUGAUGGUGCUUGCACUAUCACUUAGCGGCGGACGGGUGAGUAAUGCUUAGGAAUCUGCCUAUUAGUGGGGGACAACAUCUCGAAAGGGAUGCUAAUACCGCAUACGUCCUACGGGAGAAAGCAGGGGAUCACCUGUGACCUUGCGCUAAUAGAUGAGCCUAAGUCGGAUUAGCUAGUUGGUGGGGUAAAGGCCUACCAAGGCGACGAUCUGUAGCGGGUCUGAGAGGAUGAUCCGCCACACUGGGACUGAGACACGGCCCAGACUCCUACGGGAGGCAGCAGUGGGGAAUAUUGGACAAUGGGGGGAACCCUGAUCCAGCCAUGCCGCGUGUGUGAAGAAGGCCUUAUGGUUGUAAAGCACUUUAAGCGAGGAGGAGGCUCUUUUGGUUAAUACCCAAGAUGAGUGGACGUUACUCGCAGAAUAAGCACCGGCUAACUCUGUGCCAGCCGCCGCCGUAA